rnacentral:rRNA from 1 species
GACGAACGCUGGCGGCGUGCUUAACACAUGCAAGUCGAACGGAAAGGCCCUGCUUUUGUGGGGUGCUCGAGUGGCGAACGGGUGAGUAACACGUGAGUAACCUGCCCUUGACUUUGGGAUAACUUCAGGAAACUGGGGCUAAUACCGGAUAGGAGCUCCUGCUGCAUGGUGGGGGUUGGAAAGUUUCGGCGGUUGGGGAUGGACUCGCGGCUUAUCGGCUUGUUGGUGGGGUAGUGGCUUACCAAGGCUUUGACGGGUAGCCGGCCUGAGAGGGUGACCGGCCACAUUGGGACUGAGAUACGGCCCAGACUCCUACGGGAGGCAGCAGUGGGGAAUAUUGCACAAUGGGCGGAAGCCUGAUGCAGCAACGCCGCGUGCGGGAUGACGGCCUUCGGGUUGUAAACCGCUUUCGCCUGUGUCGAAGCGUGAGUGACGGUAAUGGGUAAAGGAGCACCGGCUAACUACGUG